GUGUUCGCUUCGGCAGCACAUAUACAAAAAUUGGAACGAUACAGAGAAGAUUAGCAUGGCCCCUGCGCAAGGAUGACACACAAAUUUGUGAAGUGUUCCAUAUUAAA